rnacentral:rRNA from 1 species
UUAGCGGCGGACGGGUGAGUAACACGUGGGCAACCUGCCUGUAAGACUGGGAUAACUUCGGGAAACCGAAGCUAAUACCGGAUAGGAUCUUCUCCUUCAUGGGAGAUGAUUGAAAGAUGGUUUCGGCUAUCACUUACAGAUGGGCCCGCGGUGCAUUAGCUAGUUGGUGAGGUAACGGCUCACCAAGGCAACGAUGCAUAGCCGACCUGAGAGGGUGAUCGGCCACACUGGGACUGAGACACGGCCCAGACUCCUACGGGAGGCAGCAGUAGGGAAUCUUCCGCAAUGGACGAAAGUCUGACGGAGCAACGCCGCGUGAGUGAUGAAGGCUUUCGGGUCGUAAAACUCUGUUGUUAGGGAAGAACAAGUACNAGAGUAACUGCUCGUACCUUGACGGUACCUAACCAGAAAGCCACGGCUAACUACGUGCCAGCAGCCGCGGUAAUACGUAGGUGGCAAGCGUUAUCCGGAAUUAUUGGGCGUAAAGCGCGCGCAGGCGGUUUCUUAAGUCUGAUGUGAAAGCCCACGGCUCAACCGUGGAGGGUCAUUGGAAACUGGGGAACUUGAGUGCAGAAGAGAAAAGCGGAAUUCCACGUGUAGCG